GAUGAACGCUAGCGGCAGGCUUAACACAUGCAAGUCGAGGGGUAUAGUUCUUCGGAACUAGAGACCGGCGCACGGGUGCGUAACGCGUAUGCAAUCUACCUUUUACAGGGGGAUAGCCCAGAGAAAUUUGGAUUAAUACCCCAUAGUAUGUUAGAGUGGCAUCAUUUUAACAUUAAAGUUCCAACGGUAAAAGAUGAGCAUGCGUCCCAUUAGCUAGAUGGUAAGGUAACGGCUUACCAUGGCGACGAUGGGUAGGGGUACUGAGAGGGAGAUCCCCCACACUGGUAAUGAGGCACGGACCAGACUCCUACGGGAGGCAGCAGUGAGGAAUAUUGGACAAUGGGCGCAAGCCUGAUCCAGCCAUGCCGCGUGCAGGAAGACGGUCCUAUGGAUUGUAAACUGCUUUUGUACAGGAAGAAACACUCCCUCGUGAGGGAGCUUGACGGUACUGUAAGAAUAAGGAUCGGCUAACUCCGUGCCAGCCGCCGCCGUAAAAC
rnacentral:rRNA from 1 species